UACAGAGGGGGCAAGCGUUGUUCGGAAUUACUGGGCGUAAAGGGCGCGUAGGCGGCCUUUUAAGUCGAACGUGAAAUCCCCGGGCUCAACCCGGGAACUGCGUCCGAUACUGGAAGGCUUGAAUCCGGGAGAGGGAUGCGGAAUUCCAGGUGUAGCGGUGAAAUGCGUAGAUAUCUGGAGGAACACCGGUGGCGAAGGCGGCUCUCUGGGGUAUUUCUGACGCUGAGGCACGAAAGCCAGGGGAGCGAACGGG
rnacentral:rRNA from 1 species